ensembl:lincRNA
GACAAGAUUGAACAACAGAAUGCAGCCUAACAGCAUCAGACCAAUGAAGGCAUGUCAUAUGAAAGCAUGGCUCAGUUACAAGAUGUAAGUAUGUCUCAUUAUCUAUACCAUGGUUUUAAUGGCUUACAUACUAUUUUAAAUUUGUAGGUUUUUACUUACAAACAACAAUAAAUGUACACCCACGUGUUUAAAAUUAUUUUCUAGGUUUUCAUCGAAAGAUGAGAGAUCAACUGAAGAAUGCUAUGGUCCUGACUCUAAGGUGCUCUUUCUAAACUUUCUCCACUUGAUUAAUAUUAUUAAAUUCUAGCUUUGUAUGGAUUCCUUCAUAUUUGUUUGUAUGCCACAUCUUAUGUUCCAGGAAUUGAUUUUACAGCAGCACUUCUCAUGUUGCCAGCCUUGUUAAGCGAGACACUUCAACAUUUCGUUGUGCUCCGGAUGACGCAGUGGGUAGUGCUGUCACCUUACAGCAAGAAGGUCGCUGGUUCGAGCCUCAGCUGGGUCAGUUGGCAUUUGUGUGAGGAGUUUGCAUAUUCUUACAGUGUUCGUGAGGGUUUCCUCCAAGUGCUCCGGUUUCCCCACAAUGAACCAUCUUCACCACAUCCAACAGUUCAAGUGCAGGAGGAGGCCACCAACUGGACAACUGUGUUAACAAGACGAGUCACGGCAGUCUUCAGAGUUGAUGGGAUUGUGAUUGGCCGGGCUAAUGAUGUGGACGAAAAUACAUUUUUGGCAUAUCCAUCUUAUUAGAAGAUCACCUUGAUGUUUCUGCAGUGGAAUGUUUUGAAUGAACGGUGGACGGUGACAAGCCUGGAUCUACUCCAGUUACCAAAGUGAUCAACCUUGUUUUUUGUUUCUCUACAUGCUCUUGGGAUAAUCACAAUAAUCAAGUUAAUCCAGCACACUGCUCUCAUUCAUGCAUAAAGCAAAAUUUUAAAUAACUUGUGGUCCUAAUGACAAAGAACAUUUUCCAGUUAUGAGUGCUUUACAUGUCAUGUUUAUCAAAAGCAUAAACACAUAUUGUGUUACAACAAAUUACAACUCCACUUGAGGAUGAUGAGGAGUAAUCUACUGAUGUUGAGGAAGAGGCUACUGAUGUUUUUGGUUUUCUGCACUGUUGAAGCAAUUUAUAGAGAAACUUUGCCUUCAUUCUGAAAUACAGAGAAAAUUUUGAUGACAAAUUAUUUAUUAUGACUGAGUAUUCUGACUCAAGACAAAUACUUUGGACUUUAUAAAGUGAAGUACUUGAUGUAGCCUGUGUAAUGUGUUUAUAAAUCUUAAACAGUAUUCUUGUGGUCUUUGUAUUAAGGGUAGAUUAUAUACUGUACAGUGAGUGAACAGUUUUUAUUCUUAUCUAAAUUGUUCUUUUUACUGUUUUACAUGUCUGCUUUAUACUUGCUGUGUAAUUUUAUUCCUUAACACAUUCAGUUGUGAGUUGUAAUGAAAUAUUUCUACAUUAG